GCAAUCGGGGCCGGAGACAUCGAGCGCCCGCUGCGGCCGGCCCGGGCCUCAGAGGGAUGGGACGGGAGCCGGGUGCGGGAGGGCGCCGCUAGAAGAAAUCCAUGAGGUGAAGCGGGCACGGCCGGGGCGCGCUGCCGACAGGCUUGAUGACUCUACAGCAACAUAAAAGAAUUCAUUCCUCUGAUUUCAGUGGGAUCAUGUAAGUGUGAGUAAGAAUCACAGGACUAGGAGCAUAAUCAGAUGAACUAUCACCAAGCAAUUACAUGGCAAACAAUACCAAAUUACACUAUAUUUUAAGAUCUUUGUAAGGAAUAUCUCAGAUUUUAAGCUUAGACAUUUAUCUUUCCUUUAUUUUUUGCAAUUAUAUUAAAUUACACAAUCUAGCUACCUCUGCAAGUACAGAGUCAGACUGUUAAGGUUUGAUUCCGCAGUUGCACCAUCAGCAACUUGGCAAUUUACAAUUGGCUUUAAUCUGAAUAAAAGCAAUUGCUUCUAAGCAAGAUAACAUGCUUAUUUCUAGAACUGAUGUAGCCUUUAGCAUCCAUGGUUGUUUAGUAUUGUUCCCUCAGUUGACACAGUUAACUGUGCUAGUGCUUUUAAUCCACAAAGUGAAAUACUUGGUUGCCUCAAGUAAGGGCUUUCUGGAGACAGGUAGAAUCCAACAUAGUAUAAGUGUCCCAGCUUUUGCAAAGUCUUAGUUAUAAAUCUUCAGUUUCUUUGUAUUUUUUUUUUUGUUUUGGUGGUUGGUCUUUUUUUUUUUUCCUCUUUUUUUUUUUUCAAACAGAUUGAAUAUUUAAAGUGAUAUGUAGUUUAACUUAAUGCUUACAUUCUCAACAUAGUUGAUUGUUAUACUAGCAUAAAAUUCACAAAAAUCUUAAUUCCUGUCAAGCAAUUACAGAGUCCUGGUGUUAUUUUUAAUCCUAAAAUGUAAAUAAUAGGAAUAUACAGGUCUAGAAAA